AGUGAACGCCGGCGGUAGGCCUAACACAUGCAAGUCGAACGGCAGCACAGUAAGAGCUUGCUCUUACGGGUGGCGAGUGGCGGACGGGUGAGGAAUACAUCGGAAUCUACUUUUUCGUAGGGGAUAACGUAGGGAAACUUACGCUAAUACCGCAUACGACCUACGGGUGAAAGCAGGGGAUCUUCGGACCUUGCGCGAUUGAAUGAGCCGAUGUCGGAUUAGCUAGUUGGCGGGGUAAAGGCCCACCAAGGCGACGAUCCGUAGCUGGUCUGAGAGGAUGAUCAGCCACACUGGAACUGAGACACGGUCCAGACUCCUACGGGAGGCAGCAGUGGGGAAUAUUGGACAAUGGGCGCAAGCCUGAUCCAGCCAUACCGCGUGGGUGAAGAAGGCCUUCGGGUUGUAAAGCCCUUUUGUUGGGAAAGAAAAGCAGCAGGUUAAUACCCCGCUGUUCUGACGGUACCCAAAGAAUAAGCACCGGCUAACUUCGUG
rnacentral:rRNA from 1 species